GGGCGCAAGCCUGAUCCAGCAAUGCCGCGUGAGUGAAGAAGGCCUUCGGGUUGUAAAGCUCUUUUGUCAGGGAAGAAACGGUUGAGGCUAAUAUCNUNGGCUAAUGACGGUACCUGAAGAAUAAGCACCGGCUAASUACGUGCCAGCAGCCGCGGUAAUACGUAGGGUGCAAGCGUUAAUCGGAAUUWCUGGGCGUAAAGCGUGCGCAGGCGGUUUUGUAAGUCUGACGUGAAAGCCCCGGGCUCAACCUGGGAAUUGCGAUGGAGACUGCAAGGCUUGAAUCUGGCAGAGGGGGGUAGAAUUCCACGUGUAGCAGUGAAAUGCGUAGAGAUGUGGAGGAACACCGAUGGCGAAGGCAGCCCCCUGGGUCAAGAUUGACGCUCAUGCACGAAAGCGUGGGGAGCAAACAGGAUUAGAUACCCUGGUAGUCCACGCCCUAAACGAUGUCUACUAGUUGUCGGGUUUUAAUUAACUUGGUAACGCAGCUAACGCGUGAAGUAGACCGCCUGG
rnacentral:rRNA from 1 species